GUGCACGCUUCUGCAGCACACGUACUAAAAUUGCAACGAUACAGAGAAGAUUAGUGUGGCCCCUGUGCAAGGAUGACACGCAAAUUCGUGAAGCAUUCCACAUUUUU
ensembl:snRNA U6 U6 spliceosomal RNA